CAGCAGCCACGGUAAUACGUAGGGGGCGAGCGUUGUCCGAAGUUACUGGGCGUAAAGCGCGCGUAGGCGGCUUCUUAAGUCUGAGGUGAAAGGUUCAACGCUUAACGUGAACAGUGCCUUGGAUACUGGGGAGCUUGAGUAUGGGAGAGGGCAGUGGAAUGGCUGGUGUAGCGGUGAAAUGCGUAGAUAUCAGUCGGAACACCCAUGGCGAAGGCAGCUGCCUGGCCUAAUACUGACGCUGAGGUGCGAAAGCGUGGGGAGCGAACGGGAUUAGAGACCCCGGUAGUCCCUGUCUCUUAUU
rnacentral:rRNA from 1 species